rnacentral:rRNA from 1 species
GACGAACGCUGGCGGCGUGCCUAAUACAUGCAAGUUGAGCGCUGAAGGUUGGUACUUGUACCAACUGGAUGAGCAGCGAACGGGUGAGUAACGCGUGGGGAAUCUGCCUUUGAGCGGGGGACAACAUUUGGAAACGAAUGCUAAUACCGCAUAAAAACUUUAAACACAAGUUUUAAGUUUGAAAGAUGCAAUUGCAUCACUCAAAGAUGAUCCCGCGUUGUAUUAGCUAGUUGGUGAGGUAAAGGCUCACCAAGGCGAUGAUACAUAGCCGACCUGAGAGGGUGAUAGGCCACAUUGAGACUGAGACACGGCCCAAACUACGUAGGGAGGCAGCAGUAGGGAAUCUUCGGCAAUGGAAGAAAGUCUGACCGAGCAACGCCGCGCGAGUGAAGAAGGUUUUCGGAUCGUAAAACUCUGUUGGUAGGGAAGAACGUUGGUGAGAGUGGAAAGCUCAUAAAGUGACGGUAACUACCCAGAAAGGGACGGCUAACUACGUG